AUUUGUAAGUCUUGUCACCAUUAGUCCUGAAAUAUUUGACUCUUGGUGUGUACGCCUAAGUGGACUAAGUCUUGCCUCCUAACCACACCACAACGUGAUAUUAAAUUAAGAACUAAUAGUAUAUAUAUAUCUAAUGUUGAUUCUGCUUUUUCUUGUUUACUUUGGAUACAUAAUCUAGAAGAAAAGGGAAACUAAUUCAUAUUCACAACAGUAUAUAUAUCUAAUGUUGAUUCUGCUUUUUUUUUUGUUUACUUUGGAUACAUAAUCUGGAAGAAAAAGGGAAAAUUUAGGUGACAGGGUGGGGAGGAGGAUACAGUCACAGAAAGUAUUAAAUUAUAUAUCAGACAUCUCUCUUCUGACUCUUCAUCGUUCGCCACCUGGUGCAUGCGGGUUUCGGCGGUGGUGCGCUCCGCGUCACUGUCAGAAUAAUAUCUUGUGGUGUUUGUUUUGUUUGCUAUAUAUCUUAAUCCUUCGGCGAUUGAUUUUUCUUUCCGGCAUCGGUGGUCUCUUAGCAUCAAUGGUUGGGAUAAGACUCUGGCGAAUUCUCUUUUCCUUUAGAGGUUCGGUUAGUUUUUGACUCUGGCGUCAGUUCCUUCUUCUCCGGUGAUGACGGUCAGCUAUUGUCUCUGACUUAUAACUUUUUUCUUCAGGGGUUAGUCGGUUUUCCUCGGUGUUUCUUCUCGUUUUGAGGGACACUUCCGUUUCCUUGUGACUGGUGGAUGGUGAUGUGGAUGAGAUCUCGAUUUAGGUCGAUUGACGCUCUCCUGUGGAUAAAGCAUUCGUUAUGUGUAAAGGUUCUAUCUCUUUGUGGUUGGUGUUUGGUGAUUCAGAUGAGAUCUUGAAUUGGUUUGAUGAAGCUGACCGAUGGUUGGAGUGAAGGCAAUGAAAAUCUAUGUCUUAAAGAUGCUGGAUUCUUUGAUCGUGAUUUAUGUUCCCGGUGGAGUCCGGUGGUGUCGAUUAGCUUUUCCGGAAUGUUGAAAGCGGUCGAUUAGUUUUUCCGGCAUGUUGAAAGCGGUGGGCCAAAUUCUGAAGACUAAAAACAUUUAACCGAACCCACUAAUCAAAGGGCCUCAUAACGGUAGGUCCGGCUCUGUGGCUA